CAAAGUGUAGCUUAAUCUAAAGCAUCUGGCUUACAUCCGGAAGAUUUCAACUAUUAUUGACCACUUUGA
rnacentral:tRNA from 1 species